GAUGAACGCUGGCGGCGUGCCUAAUACAUGCAAGUCGAGCGAACGGACGAGAAGCUUGCUUCUCUGAUGUUAGCGGCGGACGGGUGAGUAACACGUGGAUAACCUACCUAUAAGACUGGGAUAACUUCGGGAAACCGGAGCUAAUACCGGAUGAUAUUUUGAACCGCAUGGUUCAAAAGUGAAAGACGGUCUUGCUGUCACUUAUAGAUGGAUCCGCGCUGCAUUAGCUAGUUGGUAAGGUAACGGCUUACCAAGGCAACGAUGCAUAGCCGACCUGAGAGAGUCAUCGGCCACACUGGAACUGAGACACGGUCCAGACUCCUACGGGAGGCAGCAGUAGGGAAUCUUCCGCAAUGGGCGAAAGCCUGACGGAGCAACGCCGCGUGAGUGAUGAAGGUCUUCGGAUCGUAAAACUCUGUUAUUAGGGAAGAACAUAUGUGUAAGUAACUGUGCACAUCUUGACGGUACCUAAGCAGAAAGCCACGGCUAACUACGU
rnacentral:rRNA from 1 species